rnacentral:rRNA from 1 species
UACAGAGGUCCCGAGCGUUGUUCGGAUUCAUUGGGCGUAAAGGGUGCGUAGGCGGCGGGGCAAGUCUGAUGUGAAAUCCUGGGGCUCAACCCUGGAACUGCAUUGGAUACUGCCUUGCUAGAGUACUGGAGAGGAAACUGGAAUUUACGGUGUAGCAGUGAAAUGCGUAGAGAUCGUAAGGAAGACCAGUGGCGAAGGCGAGUCUCUGGACAUUUCCUGACGCUGAGGCACGAAAGCCAGGGGAGCAAACGGG